CAAUCAUAUUGUUGGCAUUAGCUCUUACCUAAAACCAAUGGCGAAGUGCGAGAGGCAAGUGAGCAUCCAAGGACUUUGGCUGCUUUCCAUUGUUCUUUUGGCAUCCUCAGUUGUUUGUGCAGGCACAAUAGAUGGGCAAACUAAUAAAGAGGACAUCAACGCUAGGAGUGUGACGAUGGCCACGUCAAGGUCAGCAAGCUACAUAGUUGGUAGUGAUGGAGGUCGUAUGAGAGGUUCAUGUACUAAGAGAUCUGAUGGAUGGUGGUGGUGCGGAAGGCUCCGCUUUAAGACAGAGAUGCAGUGUGAAGAGCAUUGCACGUUGCACUUUGUUGGAAAGGACCAAUAAUUGUUUUGUUAUCUAAUCAUGCUUGUACCAAUGGAUCAACUAUAAGCUAACUUACUAUUAA